UUCUAGUGCGAAUAUGAGACUCAUUGUU
rnacentral:sRNA from 1 species